CGACGGGCUGGCUGGUUGCUGCCUCCGGGCGACCAGGGGCCUGGGGACUUCGUGCCUGGGCCAGGGUCUCUUUCCUUUCGCGGGCACAGUGAGGAGACUGCGAGGUGAGUGAGAAAAAUCCAACUGCAGACUUGACUGCCUUCGGUGAAGGCACACGGCAAGUUCUUCUGACAAAAAACACCCUUUGGGAUUGACUCUUCACGUUUUACACAGCAAUUGUCUCAGCUUGGGACCAAAGUAUUUACAAAGCAAGCGAACAAGAGACGAAGCAAGAGGGACACUUCUGAGGCCGGUGGUGCGGAAACUCACCGCCAAACAGGGUGGGGGGCCAGUCACCUCUUCAGGAGUGUCCCAUGUGUCAGCUGACAUAACAUCUUCAAUACAGAAUUCCAAUUGAAAGAAAAACAACAACAACAAAAAACACCAGUCAAGCAUAAGCGACGUUACUUCCUCUCUGAACAGGGAAACAUCUCGCUCGCUGGGAGAUAAAAGGUAAAUCUCUCAUUUGCUGCUCUCUUCCCCUAAGUGCCAGCAAGAAGCUGGGUGUGGUGAUGAAGAAAGAAGGCAGCCAUCACCUAAGACCCCACAAGCCAAGCCGUGGUCCCCUCCAUGAGGGCACGGUCCUUUCAUGAAGCCGUAAAAGAGACCACAGCUCGGACCUGAGCACUCAGGGUUACCUACUGGGGUCUUGUCAUAUUCCUUAUGUUGAUUUCUGCCAAGACCCAAACUGAUUCCUUUUUUUUUUUUUUUUUUUUUGAGACAGAGUCUCACUCUGUCACCAAGGCUGGAGUGCAGUGGUGUGAUCUCAGCUCGCUGAAACCUCCACCUCCUGGGCUCAAGUGAUUCUCCUGCCUCAGCCUCCCAAGUAGCUGGGAUUACAGGCAGGUGCCACCAUGCCUGGCUAAUUUUUGUAUUUUUAGUAGAGAUGGGGUUUCACCAUGUUGGCUAGGGUGGUCUCAAACUCUAGUGAUCCGCCCACCUCAGCCUCCCAAAGUGCUGAGAUUACAGGCGUGAGCCACCACGCCUGGCCCCAAACUGACUCUUGACCAAAGAAUCUGAUUUGGCAAACCAAAUCUUAGUGCAGUGUUCGCUCCUCGUCCCCUUACCCAGAACAUGAUUCAGAUCCUAACAUAAACACAAAAACAGGUCAGGGAACCAAAACACUGUGGUCUUGUCUAUUAUACAAAAUAUUGAGAUAAUGUUCACGAUUCAUUCUGUUUUCAGCAAUUGUGACAAUUUUGAAGCUUCUCUCGAAGCUUCGAAACACUUCAUUUCCUACUAAAUACCAAAAUGUGUCAGACAGGCAUCACCAGUGGGAACUUGGUUUUGUUUUGUUUUUUUUUUUGAGAUGGAGUCUCGCUCUGUUACCCAGGCUGGAGUGCACAAUCUCGGCUCACCACAACUUCUGCCUCCCAGGUUCAAGCGAUUCGCCUGCCUCAGCAGCCUGAGGAGCUGGGACUACAGGCACGCGACACCAUGCCAGGCUAAUUUCUGUAUUUUUAGUAGAGAUGGGGUUUCACUAUGUUGGCCAGGCUGGUCUCGAACUCCUGACCUCGUGAUCCGCCCAUCUUGGCCUCCCAAAGUGCUGGGAUUACAGGUGUGAGCCACUGUGCCUGGCCGGGGAACUUUGUUUUUAAACGUUUACAAACAAAAAGAUUUUCGAUGCAUAGGCCAGUCCUAAUGCAUCCCAUAAUGGGGACCAAGGCAAAAACACACACACACAACUACAAAAUAUUCCCUAGAAAAAUGCAAGAUCCUCCGAAAAUCAAGAUCUCUCUACCAAACAACAUACCAAGUCAUCACAGAAGAGGUGAAGAUGCCUCUCAAAAGAUAUGUGCCACAGAAAUAGAGCUUGAAAUACUGAACACGAUUUCUCGAAGAUCCUUCUCACCACCCCAAGACAAGCGCCCUGCUCUGGUGAGGGAAGAGGAGGCAAAGGAGAAGAGAGAAGUUUCCCUUCCAUCUGGAUCUGGGUGGAUGCCAACCCUGACGUGCAGGGCAGAGCACCAGGCUGCAGGAACUGGAUGCUAAUUGCAAUCGCUUUUUGCUUUGGAACAUUUGCCAGGAACUUGUGAACUGCUAAGGGGAUGACCAGGAAACUGGAUCCAUCUCUGUGGCUGGGGAUGUUUUGAAUGAUUCUCGCGGGCUCCCUGUCUGCUUGGUGACCCUGUUGGUCCUAUGCGUAUCUGCGCCAGGGAAUUAAACUAGCCAGUCUGACGUUCUCAAGCACCGCCCUGGACACCCCCACUGCCAGUUCAUGGUCUACAGCCACAGUGACCCCAGCUUUUCACACAGGUCCUGAAUGUUAUCUGGAAUGCAGACACAAGCGCUCUGAGCUACACUGCUUGGGGAAUAAUUCCACAUGGAAAGGUACAACGUGGCCAAGAUCUCCGCAGGGACACGGCCCUCAGAUGACAGACUCCAGGAAGAAAGAGCAUGAGACACUGGUCUCUGUUUAGGUUUGCCCAGAGCUCAUGGCCGUCUGCACUGCAGGCAACGCAUCCUCCUGCGGCUCACGGGGGGCCAGGAACCCCAGGGCUUCUGAUGGAGAGUUAUGCACCGUCCCCUCGGCUGGGUUGUACAUUCACUGAUUGUCAGAAGUUUCUGAUACUGCUGUGGGGGCCGGGGAAGGAGUCACCAACAGUCUGGUCCUGUCCUUUGGACUCUACACAUCAUAGCGGUUCAAACUGUACGAGUUUGGGUAGCUCUGCCGGCUGUAUUGGAAGUGGUCUGUUAAGAUGUUGUUGCGGCCGUACUGAUAGUCCCCGUGCUGGGGGAAGAGGAGGCCGUUGUGGGGCUUCUCCAGUGGGCUCCGGUGACGCUCCUUGCUGCUCAGGUCUGCUGUGGUGACGGGGAGGAGGUGCUUCCUGGCUUGCUGGUUUGCAUCGUACUUGGUCUGUGCCAGAAAGAGAGCAAUGAGACAGGACAUGCCCGG
rnacentral:lncRNA from 1 species